rnacentral:misc_RNA from 1 species
UUGUGGCAGCGCCGAAGCCCCAUUCUGUGAUCAGAGGUGGACUCGUUUGGAUCGCAGGAGCCCUCUAACUCAGAUACACAAUGUGUUGCAUGCGAAAGUCAUCUAAACGGGCGGUAGCCUAGCCAUGCUGGACACGACCUUUGAGAUGGACGACCGAUCUCACUACGGCAUGGGAAACCGGAACGGCUCGCCGGACCGCUACUUCACCUGCAAGUUCUGCCAGCGACUGUUCAGGAAAGCCUACAAUCUGAUGAUUCACGAGAGGUCUCACGACACAGCCAAAUACAGUGCCGACAUCUACAAACUGCGCAACGAGCUCUCGUCGUGUAACCGGCGCGACCUCAGAAGGUGACUUCACCAAUGCAUGCAUGCAUCUACAUAUCUUCAAGCUAUAUAACUUCUGCUGGCCAGGGCCGUCCAGGAGGAGAGCUUCCAGGCCGUCAAGCUCAAGGUGUGAUGUUCGAGCCCGAGAGAGCGCUGCUACCGACCGGGUCUGUGCCGUCUCGAGCCGCGGGACUGGGACCUUCCCGUCCCAGCCGCGGGACCGAGACUGUCCGUCACGAGCCGCGGGACCGGGUGCUUGUCCCGGGCCGGGGCGGCACCGGGACUGCGCCGUCUCGAGCCGCCGGGGCCGGGAUCAUCUGUCCUGUCCAGGAACGCCGAGUCAUCCGUUCAGACCGUCGCGACUGUCGCCUCUCCGUCGGUUCUAUUCCCCGCCACGGCUGUCUGGCCGGUCCUGCUGUCCAGCGCGCCUGCCUGGAAGCUGUCUGCUGUCCAGCGCGGCUGUCCGGCCGGCUGUCUGCUGUCCAGCGCCUCCCCGCUGCUGGCCGGUCGUGCUAUCCGGCCAGGCCAGGCUGUCCAGCCAUGCAUAGCUGUCCGGUUUAUCCCAGCUGUCCAGCCACGUUGAGCUAAUUAUAUAGCCAUGCUGUCCAGCCAAGAUAAGUUGCUCAAAUAGGUCACUGUAUCCGGGUGUUCCAUACCGUCCAAGCAGACCGUGCCAUUUAACUGUGUCUUCCAGCUUAUUUAUUUUCAACUACAUACUAAGUGUGCUGUGAAGUCAACGCUUUGUACCCAGUCCGUUCAAGUAGUUAGCGACGGACUGGUGUCGGAUUGAGUCAUGUUUGGUAGGCAAUGGCGGACUGUUCGGUGAAGCGUUUUCAGUUAGGCGGAUCUAAAUUUGGAGCUGCUGUAAUUAGGACUAAUUUAGGGGGCGAAAUUCGCUGCGCGGGCUGCAGCGCUCGGGCUGGCGACCGCUGUCCGUGUCGGUGUAAUGUGCAGCCGGCGCGCGCCCCGUCCCUCCCGACUGUGAUCUUGUGCUAGUUGUCGUGUGAGCUGAGAGCAGGGGCUCGGAUGUGCUGUGCCAGGCGGUGAGAGCAUGUUGAAAUGCUUACGGAGUCGGAGCACUGAGGCGCCAGUCUCCGUCUUUUGCACCCUGUGUUGCCUGUGUAUAAGUUAACGUUUGUGCGCUUAGGUUUAGAAUAAGUGUAUUUAUUUGCCGCCCAACAUUUUCAGCUUUGAGUGAGUUUCAGGUUUGAAUGGUUUUCUCAUUUGUGUUAUUUGCAUGACAAGCCUGCAUAGAUAGAUUCCACGACACCACUGUGAGGUGUCUCUAAGUGCCAAUUGUCGAUCCUCCAGCUAGAUAGCACAGGUUUCAGGUUGACUGCUAGCAGCAAAUUAAUUAUGGGUGUUACGACUAUCACACGCAUUCACAUUCGUAUGUCGACGAAAUAUAUUAAUUUAUAGUA